rnacentral:lncRNA from 1 species
AAAAACCAAAUUUUUCUAUCACCUCUGAACACGACUUGAGUUGACUCGAGUUCACCAAGUCACUUGAAAUGUUCAGUUCUCUACUUGUCAAACAAAGGAGAGCUAUUAAAAUGAGUAUCAUUGAUUUGGUGCUCUCUGUAUCAGAGUCUUGUGCCCUGAGCGAGGGAGAACAACAGAGUUACUGACUGCCUGUCUCCCUGUCUGCCAGACUUCCAGCACAAUGCGCACACACACAGUCCAAUCACUGGAAUCUAUUUAUGGGUCCCAAAUGGCACCCUAAUUCAUAUAUAGCGCACUUGUCUUUGGUCAAAAGUAGUGCACUAUGUAGGGAACAGGUAGCCGUUUGGAACACACAUGAAAUCUAUUGCAUCACACUGUAUGACAGCUUCCGUUUCCAGCUGUUGGCAAAGUAUCAAGGCAUUGUCUGUCAGUGUCACAGCUGCGCUAUCAAUCCUGUUUUUUUUUUAUUACAUCGCUUUACCUGGUGGUGGACAGUAGAGGGCAGUAUAUUUCUCCGAGGGAGACGCUCGCAACUCGACUCGCUUCCUUCCACAGCACAGGAGUUCAGAUGUUUGGAGAUAUAUAUAGUGAUUUAAAUAUGCCAAGUGAGAAUGCUAGUAGGCCACACGAGGCGAAUCUAGACAUCGUCAUUCCUGAAAUCUAAAUAGCAGAUCGGGAUCAACAGACGACUACGCUAGUUAAUAAGUGCGACCGAUAUGAGAAAGAUUAAAGAUUGUUGUCCACCAUUGAUGCCUUUCAGAGAAUACAUACAAUAGAGACAUCUGGACGAUCAGUCACUCCAUCUAGCAGACACCUGGACCAUCAGUCACUGAUAUAGCAGACAUCUGGACGAUCAGUCACUCCAUCUAGCAGACAUCUGGACCAUCAGUCACUGAUAUAGCAGACAUCUGGACCAUCAGUCACUCCAUCUAGCAGACAUCUGGACCAUCAGUCACUCCAACUAGCAGACAUCUGGACCAUCAGUCACUCCAACUAGCAGACAUCUGGACCAUCAGUCACUCCAUCUAGCAGACAUCUGGACCAUCAGUCACUCCAUCUAGCAGACAUCUGGACCAUCAGUCACUCCAACUAGCAGACAUCUGGACCAUCAGUCACUCCAUCUAGCAGACAUCUGGACCAUCAGUCACUCCAUCUAGCAGACAUCUGGACCAUCAGUCACUCCAUCUAGCAGACAUCUGGACCAUCAGCCAGAUAUCAUCUCAAUAUCACAAUGAGUACGUUUACAUGCACACUAAUAAUCCAAUAUUAAACUGAUUAUAGCUGAAGGCAGAGUAUUGCAUUAGUCAUGUAAACACUUUACUCUGCGUAUCUUAAUCGGCGUAAGGUGAAAAUCGAAGUAAGCAUACGCCGAUUAAAACACCUGGUUUUCUGAUCCAUCUUUCAGGUCAUUAAUAAUCGACGUUCAAGGUGUGUAUUUGAUCUGCGCAAGUGCUAGCACCAGCCGAGAGCCUCCCUCUUUACAAGCCAGUGAAGUGAGUUCGGAAACAACUGAAUGUAGCGUGGCAGAAGUCGUUUUUAAAUACAAACUUUACAUGUCCGAACUCAGAAUCAAUAUGCUUCUCAAAAAGAACGUUUGCUGUGGUAGAACGUUUUAUUUGUAUUUUUUCUGCAUUUAUCAGAGCGCCAUCAGGUAGCCUGAUCUCAGAUCUGUCCAGGUAAACUGGGUGAUUUCAGAUCUCUCCAGGUAAACAGGAUGAUUUCAGAGCUGUCCAGGUGAACAGGAUGAUUUCAGAGCUGUCCAGGUAAACAGGAUUAUUAACAGGAUUAUUCAUCGAACUACACUGAACAAAAAUAUAAACGCAACAUGUAAAGUGUUGGUCCCAUGUUUCAUGAGCUGAAAUAAAAGAUCCCAGAAAUGUUCCAUGCGCACAAAAAAGCUUUUUUCUCUCAAAUGUUUGUCUCUCAAAUGUUUGACGUCCAUGUCCAUGUUUGUCGUCCAUGUCAGUGAGCACUUCUCCUUUGCCAAGAUAAUCCAUCUAACUGACAGGUGUGACAGGUGUGGCAUAUCAAUAAAAUGAUUAAACAGCAUGAUUAUUACACAGGUGAACCUUGUGCCGGGGACAAUAAAAGUCCCCUCUACAAUGUGCAGUUUUGUCACACAACACAAUGGAACAGAUGUCUCAAGUUUUGAGGGAGCGUGAAAUUGGCAUGCUGACUGCAGGAAUGUCCACCAGAGCUUUUGCCAGAUAAUUAAAUGAUAAUUUCUCUACCAUAAGCCGCCUCUAAAGUAGUUUAGAGAAUUUGGCGUUACGUCCAACAGGCCUCACAACUGCAGAUCACGUGCAUGGCGUUGUGUGGGUGAGCGGUUUGAUGAUGUCAUCGUUGUGAACAGAGUGCCGCAUGUUGGCGGUGGGGUUAUGGUAUGGGGCAGUGGUGUAAAGUACUUCAGUAAAAAUACUUUCAAUUACUACUUAAUUCGUUUUUUGGGGUAUCUGUACUUUACUAUUUAUAUGUUUGACUACUUUUACUUCACUACAUUCCUAAAUAAAAUAAUGUACUUUUUACUCCAUGCAUUUUCCCUGACACCCAAAAGUACUCGUUACAUUUUAAAUGCUUAGCAGGACAGGAAAUGGUCCAAUUCACGCAAUAAUCAAGAGAACAUCCCUGGUCGUCCCUACUGUCUCUGAUCUGGAGGACUCACUAAACAGAGAACAUCCCUGGUAAUCUCUACUGCCUCUGAUCUGGAGGACUCACUAAACAGAGAACAUCCCUGGUCAUCCCACCUGUCUCUGAUCUGGAGGACUCACUAAACAGAGAACAUCCCUGGUCAUCCCUACUGCCUCUGAUCUGGAGGACUCACUAAACAGAGAACAUCCCUGGUCAUCCCUACUGCCUCUGAUCUGGAUGACUCACUAAACAGAGAACAUCCCUGGUCCUCCCUACUGCCUCUGACCUGGAGGACUCACUAAACAGAGAACAUCCCUGGUCAUCCCUACUGCCUCUGAUCUGGAGGACUCACUAAACAGAGAACAUCCCUGG